CAGCCGCCCCCCCCCCCCCAGCUAGAGCCCGGCCUGAGGAGGAGCGCUAGGCCCGACGCCCGCGGAGGGCCCUGCUUCCUCCAGUAUAGAAGGUACCAGGAUUUAGCCACUGAACGAAAGCUGACCGGAUGCCUCAAGAAGCUGAGUGUGCUGCCGCUUAGGACCUUUCCUUAAUUAUAUUAAGGCCAAGCGUCAAUACUCUAAGAUCCUAGAAAAUGGAGAAAAUCAUCAUUUGUUCACAACGCCACCCUCCCCUGCAUGGUUGCAAAAAUGGAAUGCGAGCGAGCGAUUUGGUGAAGCAUUGGUAUUUUCAGCAAAGCUGCCUGGCACCUUGGCAGAAAAUGCAAAGCUGUCUCUUUUCCUCCAGGGAUACUAUUAUGGAUACUAUAUGAUUAAGAAGCUUAAAAGCUGGAGGCAGUACAGAUCAUUUUGCAAAAAAAUGCACAAGUUUCCUUGAACACUCCUCUGAAGCAGCUGGGAUGGGCCACGAUGGUGAGAGAAGAUGCUCAACAGAGGUCUGCUUCCUUCAGUGUCUCAGCUCCAAAUGCCUUCGAGUUACACAACAAGCCUCUGCGUUACAUCACACGAGGCUCUUGAAAGGAAAGAUCGGGUGCUCCUGCUGAUACCGCUCUGCUCUAGAGAUGCUACAAAACACUCCAGCUGAAUAUAGGUAGCCAGAGCUGGAUGGCCUCCUUGUUUCUAGGCACUCCUAGAUAUUAUUGUUGGAAAGUCACAUAUCAUCCCAGAAGAGCCUUAUACUCUGUAUACAAGGCCGUUGGAUGUUGGUGAAAAGGAGGCAUAGGUUGCAAUGUUUUCAAUAUACCUCUGACACCCAUACCUUUGUAUCCAUAGACAAUUCCUUUUGAUUUAUGAUUUUGUGCUAUGUUUACUUCCUGAGAUGAUGGCUCAGAGCAUUAUAUCAGCACCUAACAAUGCAUUUUAGAAAUCUGAAAAAGCAACUAAAAAAGUGUCUCAUCGCAUCCAGGCAGUGCUGAUGAAUGCCUGAUCUGCGCUCUGGGCAAGGCAGAUGUGAAAAUGUAAAGUAGUUGCCUGAAGCUUGAUACAUGAUUAGACAGAGGUGAUGCUGGUGUAUGGGGGAAAACAGCCAGAAGAAAUGGCAAGGAUUCCCUCUGCCCCUACCAUUUAUAAGGUAUAACCUCAUUUCAUUAGUACCUAGAACAGACCUCAUGGGAUCAGGAGAAAAGUUCAUUAAAAAAGAAGACUUUUUAUAAAAAUGGAGGACAUAACAUGGAAGACAAAUGAUUUAUGCUGUUAGGAUUUUUUAAAGUGGGGUUUACCUGAGGAGGGUUUGUUACAACAACCUCAUACUGUCUACGAUCCCAUUACCAUCUGAACUGAGUGCCUCACAAUUUACCUUCACAGCACCUCGUGGGGGGCAGGGACAUACAAAGAGUUGAAGGAACUUGCCUGAGGUCAUUCUGAAGUCUAAAGUGGAGUAAGCCAUUGAACUUGGAUUUCACAAGCCAUUGAACUUGGAUUCCACCACCAGAGAGAUGGUGGAAGCUCCAUCCUUGGAGGUUUUCAAAACCUGGCUAGACAAAGCUUCGGCUGGGAUGAUCUAGUUAGGGUUGGUCCUGCUUUGAACUAGAUGUGACCUGCUAAGGUCCCUUCCAACCCUCGUUUCUAUGAAUCUAUGAUAAGUGUCUGGUCCCUACAGGAUGCACAUCCACUACCCACUAUGUAUGGCUCAGUCACCAGAGCAUGUUUACCUCUCAAGGGUUUGAAAAUGGUAGUAACAAUAAAAAUAUGUUACAAUUACCACUGAAUCUUCAGAUGAUCAAUGUUCAUAUAGCACCAGUGUCUAGAAGAUCUUUUUCUUAUUUAUAUCUGUUCAGAAAAUUGUGACUAUUUCUUUUGAAUGAAGAUCUUACAACUGUGGCCUAUGUCUUUGCCACCUCAAGAUUGAAUUAUAGCAAUGUGGUCUUUAAAGAGGUUAUGCCUCUUAUCAUCUGGUAAAUGGAUGAUGGAAUAGAAUUGGGCAGCUUGUUUAUUGAACUAUGCAUUUCACCAAAGGCAUGUGACUGAAGGUGUCCAGGAUAAGCACUGACUGACUAUUGAUUUCCAGAUGGUUUAGGCUUGUGGUUUUGACUUAUACAAUCAUAAAAAAAAAAAAAGCUGGUCUUCUUGAGGAACCACCUUUCAAAAUAAAUAUGUAAUAUAUUUCUGAUCUUGUUAAUUUUCUGUAUCAGGUAGUGAGAUGGCAAAGAUUUUUAUGGCACCUUGGUCUGUUUGGAUCUAAAAUGAGUGACACAAGUGGAAGUUAACAGCAAACCGGAAGUACAGAGUAAAGUAGUAGCAAUAAAUAGAAAGAAUGUAUUCUUAGGAACUACAGCAUUAGUUUAGAAGACACGUGUUGUGAGGUCUACUCUUUGCUGACUCAUUUUGUGCCCAUUGACAAGUCACCUAACUUUUGUAUACCUGGUUUACUGCAGCUAAGAAAAAAUACCUGUUUUAAAUGUCCGAGCAUAAACAUCCUAGAUGAAACAUGCUAUAAAAUUUGUAAGCUUUAUAAAGAUGAAUUAUUCUACUUAUAAAUGAGGAAAUAAAUACUCACAUACCUUGCAG